AUGGGGAGUGUCCUGCGAGGUCUGGAGGUCACCGAGGCGGGCGAGGAGGACGCUGAGGGAGGGAUGCGAGAACUCAACGCACCGGCAGGGGGAGCCCGAGUAAGCAGGAAGCAAGGGCCUGGGAGUGGGCGGCCGGCGGUAGGCCGACCGAGGUUACCCGCGGGCGACCGUCGUGACGCAGUCCCCGGCCCGGAUCUGGAGAAGAGAAGAGCCGGACACUGCAAGGUCAGCAUUGACCCCAUUUUACGGAUGAGACAACUGAGACUCCGAGAGGGCACUACAUGUCCCUUCCCCCGGGCUGCGUGGUUACUGUCUGCCCCCCACUGCCUCGCUGAUGCCGGCGGCCCUCCGAACGGCUCCGUCCCCGCCCCCACGCUGGGAGGCAGCGGGAGGCGGAGGGCUUCCGGCUCCUUCCUCCAGCCCUGGGUGCACUUCCGACCGCAGCUCCGCUGGAGGCGCUCUCUGCUCAGGUAACCCAGGUCUCUUUGGGGCCAAGUGUGGGGCUGCCUUCAGCCCUGGCCUUACUGGGUCUCUCCAAAGCCUUCCUCGCUGUCACCCGCUCCCUCCAUCUUGGAACUCUCUCCCCUGCUUCCCUCCUGCCUGCCUGGCUGUUCCUUGCUCCCUUUCCCC
rnacentral:lncRNA from 1 species